rnacentral:rRNA from 1 species
AACGAACGCUGGCGGCAGGCUUAACACAUGCAAGUCGAACGCCCCGCAAGGGGAGUGGCAGACGGGUGAGUAACGCGUGGGAAUCUACCCAGUUCUACGGAACAACACAGGGAAACUUGUGCUAAUACCGUAUACGCCCCAAGGGGGAAAGAUUUAUCGGAAUUGGAUGAGCCCGCGUUGGAUUAGCUAGUUGGUGAGGUAACGGCUCACCAAGGCGACGAUCCAUAGCUGGUCUGAGAGGAUGAUCAGCCACACUGGGACUGAGACACGGCCCAGACUCCUACGGGAGGCAGCAGUGGGGAAUAUUGGACAAUGGGCGAAAGCCUGAUCCAGCCAUGCCGCGUGAGUGAUGAAGGCCUUAGGGUUGUAAAGCUCUUUCAGUGGGGAAGAUAAUGACGGUACCCACAGAAGAAGCCCCGGCUAACUUCGUGCCAGCAGCCGCGGUAAUG